UGGCUGGGAUGACAGAAACAUACGUUUCUCGAUCCUGAUACUUGAUUUUUUUUCAAGGACCAAACUUUGAUGACCUUUGUGCGUGUCUGAGCCAG
rnacentral:snoRNA from 1 species